AAAUUUCUAACUACAUUUUUACCAUAAUUGCAAAAAACUGAGAUUUUGCACAUUUUUUUAAGACACAAUGAACAAAUGCACUUCACCCCGCAAUUCAGAAUCUGGCCGACCGCAUACUUCAUAAAUACGAUUUUGCUCUGUGCUCGUGCUCUUCGUUCAUUUAUUUUUGAAAAAUUCGAUAAUUUUUUCUGAAUUUUUUUUACCAUUACUGACUUCUAAAAGCAGUCUAAAAGUGUGGUUACCAUCGUUUGAGGGGACCAAACUUACUAAAAGAUGUCAACGUCAAUCAUGGCGAAAAAGAAGCUGGUCAUCGUUGGAGAUGGUGCUUGUGGGAAGACAAGUCUCCUCAUCACUUUUAGCAAAGAUUCUUUCCCAACGAUGUACGUUCCGACCGUUUUCGAAAACUAUGUGACCGAGAUUGAAAUCGAUGGAAAAGUGAUUGACCUCGCUCUUUGGGAUACAGCUGGCCAAGAAGAUUACGACAGAUUGCGACCCCUCUCCUACCCAGACACGGAUGUCCUUCUCAUCUGCUUUUCCGUGGAUAACCCAGAUUCGCUUCAGAACGUAAUGGAAAAAUGGGGACCAGAAUGCAGCCAUUUCUGUCCUGAUGUCCCCAUCGUUCUUUGUGGAAACAAGAUUGACUUGAGGGACGAUCCCAUGUUAGUGGAGACAUUGGCCUUGAUUAAUCACACUCCGGUGGGAUUCGAAGUUGGACAAGAAGUCGCCAGCAAGAUAAAUGCCGUUGCAUAUGUGGAAUGUUCUGCCUUGACGCGAGAAGGGGUUCACAACGUUUUUGAAACAUCAGUGCGAGCUUGCAUGAAGCAAAAGAAGCAAAGCUGGAUCAGCAGAUGCAUGAUUGCCUAAAUUAAUAGAAUAGAAAUUCAACUACCUUCGUGCGCAUAAAUUUGAUAAUAAUUUUGCCAUAAAUCCUACUCGUAUCACCUUUUACCAAUAAAAAAAUCAUUUUACUUACUGGUAAGACUAAUUAUUCGAAAUAUAAUUUUGAUGCGUAACUCUUCCCUACAAGCACAUACUUUACUUUAAUGAGCUUCCGGUUAUUUGGACCAAGUUCAGAAUUGAAACAAAUCUCUUUAUCGAUUAGACUGAUUUCAUUCAACUCCAAAUUUGGAUGUGGCAUGGAUCCCUUAUGAAAACGUUGGAUACUAAAAAACAAAUCUACGAUGCCUACUUACGGAACAUGAUUUCUUAUUCGCUUUCCGUAAAUGUAAAUGUAUCCUGAUGCAUAAUUUAUAAGGGCAAUAUUAACGGAAAUACAUUAAAUGAUAUUCAAUAUAA